rnacentral:rRNA from 1 species
GAUGAACGCUAGCGGGAGGCCUAACACAUGCAAGCCGAGCGGGAUUUGUUGGUUAGCUUGCUAACUAACAAUGAGAGCGGCGUACGGGUGCGUAGCACGUGUGCAACCUGCCUUUAUCUGGGGGAUAGCCUUUCGAAAGGAAGAUUAAUACCCCAUAACAUAUUGAUUGGCAUCAGUUAAUAUUGAAAGCUCCGGCGGAUAGAGAUGGGCACGCGUAAGAUUAGCUAGUUGGUGAGGUAACGGCUCACCAAGGCUGCGAUCUUUGGGGGGCCUGAGAGGGUGAUCCCCCACACUGGUACUGAGACACGGACCAGACUCCUACGGGAGGCAGCAGUGAGGAAUAUUGGACAAUGGGUGAGAGCCUGAUCCAGCCAUCCCGCGUGAAGGACUAAGGACCUAUGGUUUGUAAACUUCUUUUAUACAGGGAUAAACCUACUCUCGUGAGGGUAGCUGAAGGUACUGUAUGAAUAAGCACCGGCUAACUCCGUG